GGACUGUCUCCCAUCUCCCUCCUCCGCCCCCUUCUGUCUUUCCCUGUGCCUGUCUCUCCCUUUCCCCUAGGUGUUUCUCCCUGGCCCUGUCUCUCAUCUCUGUCUCUUUCUGGGCCUCUCCACAUUUCCCUGCCCCUCUCUCUGCCUGCCCCUUCGUCCUGGUCUGUUUUCUUCUUUGCCUGGCCCUUGGACUCUCCUGUUUUCCUUGUCUCCCUUGUCUCUGGCUGCUCUAGCUAGAGCUCUCCCUUCUCCAUGUCUCUCUAGGUCUCUCCUGUCCCUCCUCUCCAUGUCUCCCCUUUGCAGGAAGCCUUCUCCAGCGCCAGCCAUCAAGGGAGAACGCGGACUCAGAGAAGGGGAGAAGGGAAGAGAAUCGGCAGCCGGAGAGGGAGAGGGGCGGCCUGAGGCAGGGCCCUGUGACGGCCGGUGGCUCGGCGGCGCUGAGGGGCAGCCAGGCAGGGGAGCCAGGAGGCCAGCCAAGGAGGGACUUGGGAACGCUCCAUCCUUCCUUCUCCUGCUCUUCCUCCCCAUCCCUCCCUUCUCUCCCCCCUCCUCUCCUCCUCCUCCUCCUCCUCCUCCUCCUCCUCCUUCCUUCUUUCCUUCCCCUGCUUCCUCCAUCCCCUCUCUUCUGGGCCACCAGGCUCACUCUAUCCCACUGUUCCCUCCCCAUCCCUCCCUUCUCUCCCCCCUCCUCUCCUCCUCCUCCUCCAUUCCCCCUUCCCUCUCUCUCCUCUGUCUCUCCUGUUUCCCCACCCCUCAUCUCCUCCUCCAUCCUUCCCUAUCUCCCUCUCCCAUCCUCUCUUCCCCCAUCUUCCCAGCCUCUCCCCAUCCCCCACACUUUGUGCCCCCAGCCUCUUUUAUCUUCCGCCCUCCCUGUGCUACCAGCUUCCCAGUCCCCCCAUUCUCUGAGCCUCCUUUAUCUCCCCGUUCUUCCCGUCCCCCACUCUCGCCAUCCCCCCACUGUCUUUUACACCCCCCAUCCCCCCUCUGCCAUCCCCCUUCCUCACCCCCGGGGCCUGAUGCUCCCUCGGUCAGGCCUGAAGUCUUGAAUCCUAGUCUCCCUCUCCCCUGCUGCCCCAGGGGAGGGGCAAGGCCUGGGGGGGGGGGAGAACGGGGUAACCCCCUCCCCCUGCCGGCCCCUCCCCUCCCCCACCCCCUCACCUCAUGGCCACGGGCUACAUCUGGGCCCAUCCCUCACCCCCAGCAGCCCCCCCAGGCCGUCCCGGCUGAGGGGAGGGGGCCGGGGGUGGGGAGCCCCAUUUGGGCCAGCUCUCUCCUUCCCUUCUCCUCCAUUUUCUCCUUGCAUUCCCCCUUCUCCUCUCCCCUCUCAGGCCUGCCCGCCAGCCCUCCCUCUCUCCCUCGCCCCGUCCACCUGGCUCCCCACCUCCAGCAGCUGGAGACCAGAAAACUCUCCCCCUGUUCCCAUCUCAGCGUCCCUUCCCACCUCCAUCCUUCUUGGCCCCUGAGCCCGCAAGAGAGCCCCAGCCGCCUGGCCCACCAGGAUCCGUGAGUGUCUGCCUGUGUGUAUGGGUGGUGGGGUGGUGGGAGUGGGGGUGGGGUGGGUGAGUGAGGCUGGGCG
rnacentral:lncRNA from 1 species